rnacentral:lncRNA from 10 species
CUUGGGUCCUUGGUAAAUCCCUAGAAGUUAAUUAACUCUGUGUAAAGCUUAUGUGAAUAAAUAUUUAUGCACAUGGACAUAGAAACACAAAGAUGAAACUAUAAUGUUUCAUGAAAAAUACCCAUGCCAAAAUGCAUGUUUUUUCCUCUUUUGCAGUCACCCUGGGAGGCUUUAUGCUUCUGCCAGAGGUACCUCAUUCCCCAGGAUGGUGCCAGGCCUGCCUUUGGGACCAACCUCUGCUUUGAAUUCUCUACCUGUGGCAAGUCUUCAUCCUUUUGGAAACAACUAGAAGUUACCAAGGAGAUGAGCAAGGUGGACAAUCAAAUUAGGUGAUCAUGUUACGGUUUUUCCCCCAAAGAAGACAUGACCGUGAAGAAGUUUGCUCUGGUGAAUGAAGCAAGCUCCCAUGUUGUGAGGUGCCCUAUGGAGAAAUCCCCAUGAGAAAGAUCUGAGGCCCUCAGUCCAGCAGUCCUUAGAAAACUGAAUCCUGUCAACAAUUGAAACAGUUUGCCAAUAGUUUGAAAGAGGAUCACUAUCUAGAGAAGCCUGCAGAUGAGACCACGGCCUUGAGUGACACUUUGAUUACAGCCUUGUAAGAAACCCUAAAACAGAGGACCCAGUUAGGUAGCGCAGGACCCUGUAUCCACAGAAAUAGCAUGUGGUGUAACAAGAAAUGUAUUUGGUCUUGGUCUCUGGUUCUUGGCACAGAGCUCCUAAAGCCCUUGGUAUUUCAUGAGUUUCUUUUGUUAUUCAUAAUGAACCCUUUUUGGUCACAUCUGAGUUUAUAUUAAUGAGGUAACUUGCCCCUAAUAGCCUCAGGAUGGGGCUGGUCACCAGAAAGACCAAGUGAUUACAAGGUUAGAACUUUCAGGCCUACCAACAGACUUCCUGGAAGGGGCUAGAGAUUAAGCUCUUUGAAAACUCUUGCACAACAAUAAUAGUGGGAUGACAGGAGGGUGGUGGACCCCAACUCCACAGGGACAGAGCUCCUGUUCUUGGGAUCCUUCCAGACUACACCCCAUGUAUCCCUUCAUCUGGCUGUUCAUCUGUUCUGAUAAAAAACAAACAAACAAACAAAAAACAACAAAAAAAAAACUUCAUGUAGUGAGCCAAGAUUGUGUUACUGCACUCCAACCUGGGCCGCACAGCGAGACUGCAUCUCAAAAACAACAACAACAACAAAAAAAAAAAAAAAAAAAAACUUCAGCCAAAUUAAAUUUAAAGGAGUUCAAUUGAGCAAUGAACGAUUCACCAAUCGAGCAGCCCCCAGAAUCACAGCAGAUUCACAGAGACUCCAGUGCAGCCACAUGGUGGAAGAAGAUUUAUAGACAAAACAAACAAAUAAACAAACAAAAACAAAGGAAAUGACAUACAGAAAUCGGCAGUGAGGUACAGAAACAGCUGGAUUGAUUACAGGAUGGCGUUUGCCUUAUUGGAACCCAGUUUGAACACUUAGGCUAUGAAUGAAGUAUGGCCACUGGGAUUGGCCAAGACUCAGUUAUUGUAACAGGCACAUACUCCUAAGUUAGGUUUUCUUCUUUCUUUUUUUUUUUUUUUGAGAUGGAGCCUUGCCACGAUGCCCAGACUGGAGUGCAAUGGAGCAAUCUCGGCUCACUGCCACCUCUGCCUCCCCGGUUCAAGUAAUUCUCCUGCCUCAACCUCCCGAGUAGCUGGGACUACAGGCGCACGCCACCAUGCUCAGCUAAUUUUUGUAUUUUUAGUACAGAUGGGGUUUCACCAUAUUGGCCAGGCUGGUCUCAAACUCCUGACCUUAAGUAAUCUGCCCACCUCAGCCUCCCAAAGUUCUGGGAUUACAGGCGUGAGCCACCACGGCUGGCCACUCCUAAGUUAGGUUUUCAAUUUUGUCUGACUAUUAAGCUAGGUUACAGUUCAUCCACAAGGACUCAAAUAUAGAAGUAUGGAAUCUUUCUCAGGCCAUAUUUAGUUUGCUUUAACAGUACCCUUUAUGAUAAACCAUAAACGUAAAUAAAGUGUUUUUCUGAGUUCUGUGCCCCAUUUUAGAAAAUUAUUGCACAUGAGGAGAGGGUCAUGGGAAACCCCAACUUAUAGUGGGUGGAUCAGAAGUACAAGAGGCCUGGACUUGAGAUUGGCAUUUUAGGUGGGAGCAGUCUUGUGGGAUUGAGCCCUUAACUUGUGGGAUCUGACCCAAACUCCAGGUAGAUUGUGUCAGAAUUGAAUUGUGGGACACCCAACUGGUGUCAGAGCAUUUUCAGUGUGGAAAAAAACCCUGUACACCUGGUGUUAGCAGUGUUCUGUGUGACAGUGUAGAGAGACAGAGUUUGUUUUAUCAGACAGUGAGAUAAUAAAUGUGUUUUGCUUUCAGCCACUAAAUUUUGGGGUAAUUAUUUUAAAUUUAUUUAUUUUUGAGAUAGAGUCUUUCUCUGUCACUCAGGCUGGAGUGCAGUGGCAUGAUCUUGGCUCACUGCAACCUCCGCCUCCCAGGUUCAAGCGAUUCUCUUGCCUCAAUCUCCUGAGUAGCUGGGAUUACAGGUGCCCGCCACCAUGCCUGGCUAAUUUUUGUAUUUUUAGUAGAGUUGGGGUUUCGCCAUGUUGGUCCGGCUGGUCUCGAACUCCUGACUUCAAGUGAUCCUCUCACCUCAGCCUCCCAAAGUGCUGGGAUUACAGGCAUGAGCCACCAUGCCUGGCCUUAAAAUGUAUUUUUAACUGACACAUAAUAAUUAUAUAUAGUUAUGAGGCUGGAAUAAGUUUUAUACAGGAAUAGAUAAUAAAUAUACCUCCCUUCUUAAAACUACUCUCCCAUGAAUUUGCACAACUGCUUUUCAUUCUAACUCCAUCAAUUGCUCUCUUUCCUUUGUGGGCUCUUCUACUAUUGCUGUUUUUCAGCUCCUGCUGUUUCCCCAAGGUCUUCUCUUCAUCUCUGUAUACAUUUUCUUGCUGGUCUCAUCCAUUCAAAUGCCAUCUAUAAGCCAGUGAUCCCUCAAGUUUAUAUCUGUGGCUCUUUGGAGGACCAGACCCAUAUAUUCAACUGCCUAAAGAGAAUUCCCACCUGGACAUUGCUCUCACAAGACACGGACUCAGCAUGUCAAAAAAGGAACUUGUCACUUCCCAUCGGACUCUGUAUCCUUCUGUGUUUCUUGCCUCAGUAAGCCACAAUCACCCGGUUGCUCAAACCAGAAACCUGAGAGUUGUCUUUGUUUUUUCAACAAAUAUUGAUGGAGCACCUACAAUGUGCCAAACUGCUUUAGGCUCAUGGAUAGUGACAUUCCUGUGGGAGACAGACAAUGAGGAUAAUCGACUAUAAUAGUAUGUUAGAGUGCUGCACACACACACACACACACACACCCAUACACACGUCUCACAGUAAGUGCUGUGGGGAAAAACUGAGCAGGCAGAAGAAUGUAUGUCACAGUACAUGAGUUGUAACAUUAGGUGGUGAGAAUAGACCUCUCCAAGAAGGAGACACUUGAAGAAAGAGAGGUCUAUGCUAUGUGAAUAUUUGGGAGAAGAGCAUUUCAAGAGGGGACAGUGAGUGCAAAUGCCUUGACCAGUGCCUUAACUGGGGGUUUGGGGAACAGCAAGGUGGCCAGUGUGGCUGGAACAGAGCGAGACAGAGGGAGAUUUUUAGUGAUGAGGUUAGUGAGGCACCCAAGCCCAGGUCAUGGACAGCAUUCCUGGCCAUUGUAAGAAGCCUGGGCUUUACUCCGAGUACAAUAGGAAGCUGUGGAGGGUUUGCAAUGGAGAAAUCACAUGAUCACUCUGGUUACUAUCUUUAGAGUAGGUUGUAGAGAAACUAUUCCUCUUAUUUUUAUCUCUUAGCCCCCAAAUCCUACUUUUCUCACUAAACCCCAUUUAUUUUACCUCUUAAAUAUAUCUUGAAUCCAUCUAGUUCUCUUAAUUUCUAUUUUAACUACCUAAGUCAAGCCAACAGCAGCCUUCAUUGAAUGAUUCAUUCAGUCAGUCAUUCAACGAAUACUUACUGAGCAGCUAUUAUGUUCUAAGCACUAUUCCUAUUCUCUAUGCUUGGAACACAGCAAUGAACAAAAAUAAAAAAGAAAAGAAAAAAGAAGAGACCAGCCUAUGUGGAGCCUACAUUUCUCCCUCAGAUUUAUUGCUUUUUAAAGAACUUCACUUAAGUUGUCUUAGGAACUUAUUUGGUUACUUGCUCAUUGUAUCCUCUCCUCACCAGAGUGUAAAUGUUGUGAGAUCAGGCACAUUAUCAAUUUUGUUCACCAGCCAUAUUCUCAGUGCGUAGAAUAGCACCUGUUACAUAAUAUGUACUCAAUAAACACUAAUUGAAUGAACAAAAUACUGCAACAGACUCCUAAUUGGUCUGUUUCCAGUGACUUUUAAACUUUCUUUGACUUUGACCCACAGUAAGAAAAAUAUUUUGUGCUGUAACCUAGUAACACUUACACACAUGCAUACAUGCUUAUAGAUGCAUAUGUAAAAUUAAAAGUAUUGUUACAUGUGAUGCCAUCUGAUUGUAUGUGAAGCCGUCUGAUAAUAUUUAUUGUAUCCUAUUAUGUUUUACUGAAAAAAAACUCUGCCAGUUACAACUUAAAGAAAAUUAAAAAAAAAAUUUUUUUUGAGAUGGGGUCUCACUGUGUUGCCCAGGCUGCUCUUGAACUCCUGGGCUCAAGUAAUCUUCCCACCUCAGCUUUCCCAGUAGCUGGGAUUGCAGGUUGCACAACUGCACCCAGCACAACUUUAAAUUUGAUUUCAGAAUCCACUCAUGUGACUUAACCAGAAGUUUGGCAAAUACUGUCCUUAUCUAUUCUCCACAACCAGAGUGCUCUUUCUAACCUAGAAGUAUUCUUAUGUGACUUCCCUACAUAAAAGCUUUCCAUGGCAAUCUGUCAGCCUCAGGCAUUUUUGCCCAAACGUCAGUCAUUCAUGGUUGUUCAUGUACCAACUAUAAUCUAGGUAGUAUUCUGUCAGUUGAAUUACUUUUGUCAGUCAACCUCAUCCUAAGCAAAAAUAUAAGAUAAGCAAUGUGUUGCAUGUAUGAAAUAGAUCUAUAUCUAUCUAUCUAUAUAUUUUCUAUGCGUGUUCACCCCAUUAACUACAAAAAUUAAAAAAAAUAGUAUUCUGUGUACCAUCUAAGAUCUUCUUAUCAUCCAGCCACACUUUGGGAAAGACUGUUCUUGGGAUAAAGGAAGGUCAGAUACCUCAACUAAGUCCACAAGGCACUCUGGAGCUUGCUGGUGCUUUCCACUGCAGUAUCAUUUUUUUUUUCUUUUUUACCACUUCCUGCAUGCAUUCAUUCGGAAUGACUCGCAGGUGCCUGAACACACUGAGCUCCUUUUGGCACUAGGACUCUGCAUAUGCCAUCUCCUUCCUCUGCUCAGGACUCCACCAGUACCACCCCCUUUCAUGUCUCAGCUAAAAUGUCAUGUUGGGGAAGCUGUCCUGGCCCGGGGCUGCACAGGUCCUCUUCCAGUGUCCUCCUCCAGCGUCCGGUGCUCAUCUCUAUAUUAGAAUGUAUCACCCUGCAGUGAAGCAGUUUAUUCACCUGUUUUACUCCACCAACUGAUGGUUGUAAGCUUCUGGCCUAGAAGAGUAUUUUAUUUACCACAGUAUUUCUGGUAUUUAGUAUAGUCCCAGACAUUCAAUAACAAUUUGUUUGAUGAAUAAAAGAACAGAUGUACGGAUUUCUCAAUGGACUGAAUAUCCCUGACACUCAGCUCAUUGCCUGACACAUACUAGGUAUUCAAAAACCACGAUUGAGCAAUUGAAAGAAGUGAGGGCUCAUUCUCACCCUAGCUACAUUAUCUAUUUACUUAUUUAUUUAUUUUUUGAGAUAGAGUCUUGCUCUGUCACCUAGGCUGGAGUGCAAUGGUGAUCAUAGCUCACUGCAGCCUCAACUGCCCAGACUCAAGCAACCCUCCUACCUCAGCCCACCAAGUAGCUGGGACCACAGGCAUGCAUCACCACACCCGGCUAAUUUCAUUUUUAAAAUUUUUCUUGACACAGGGUCUUACUCUGUAUGCCCAGGCUGGAGUGCAAUGGUGUGAUCAUAGCUCAUUGCAGCCUUGACUUCCCAGGCCCAAGUGAUCCUCCCACCUCAGCCUCCCAAAUAGCUGGGACUACAGCCAUGUGCCACCAUGCCCAGCUAAUUUUUUGAUUUUUUGUAGAGAUGGCGUCUCACUAUGUUGCUCAGGCUGGCCUCAAACUCUUGGGCUCAAGCGAUCCUCCCACCUCCCAAGGUGCUGUGAUCACAGGCAUGAGCCACUGCGCCCGGCCUCCUCCAUUAGUUUACAGCUUCUCAUGAACUUAGAACGUGUCUUAGUCUUCUUUGAACCUUAACACUGUGUUCUUACACAGCUACAUACUUUUCUUCAGGAAGUGUAAAAUGGUUGCCUUCGUGAAAAAUCAAGUAGGAAAGAAAAGGUAAAACAGAGUUAACCCCAAUGCUUAAUUCUUGUGUCUUUGCCUGUUUUGACCUUUUCCCCAUAUCUUCCCCUGUGUCCCUCCAAACCACAGUUACUGCACAGCUGAUAGGCUUUAGUGCAAUCCUGUAUCUGUUUUAUCCCUUUUGUGGUGCCAUUUGUAGCUCUUGGCAUGUGGGUUUUAAAUAAAUAUUUAAGCCGAAUAUUGGCAAGUUAGAAAGAUAGUAAUGGAGGGAAAAUGGACGCUUUUUCUCUGUGUUGAAUUACUACAUAUAACAGGGUAGUUUUGAUAUACUUUGAUGAGCCCAGAAUUCUCACAUGCUUUUUAAUUCAAAUCAUAUUGAGAGUAAAAACAAGAAAUAAAAAAAUCAUUUCUGCAUUAUAUUGCACCAUCUUGGCAAUAAGCAAAUUGUGAGAUCUCUGAACACUCUGGGAUGGUAAAAAUUGUUAUUAUUUCUCUCUUAUGAAAACCCACAACUUUAAUACAUGAAUAGUUAACUUGUCUUCAUUCUGGUUAAACUUUGGGAAAGAAGAGAUAGGCACUUGAUUCACUGGUGUUGGCCGGAUAGAAAGUAGCAAGCAUCCUUAAAAUAGACCAAUGUCAUCAGCCUUAUAAAAUUGUUGAGGCAAAGAUUAUGCUCAGAAAUAAAAUAUCUGAAAAAUGGCAGUUUUUUUUUGCAGGUUAAUUUUUUUUCCUAGUGCCAUCUACCUAUUGCAUACCCUUUUUAUUCCCCAUGGAAAACAUUCUGAAAGGUAUUUUCCCACCUAAAUCACCUCUCUCAACAUGUUCUUUUUUUUUUUUUUUUGUCCUUGUAUAGUUUCUCUUCUUUUCCUCACCCCAAUCCACUUGUAGAAACUGAUGUCUUUUCUCUAUUGAAUUUUAUUUUUAGGAAAUUUGGUUCAGUGUUACCUUUAGGUUAUUUUAAAUAGUAAUAAUAGCAACUACAAUAUCAACACCACAUAGAACAUUUAACUAUGUGUCAGUUAUUGUUCUAACUGCUUUACAUUGCCAGGUGUGGUGGUUCAUGCCUGUAAUCCCAGUAUUUAGGGAGGCCGAGCUGGGAGGCUCGCUUUGAGGCCAGGACUUUGAGAUCAGCCUGGGCAAUACUGCCAGAUCCUAUUGCUACAAAAAUACAAAAAUCAGCCAGGCAUGGUGGUGCACACUUGUAGUCCCAGGUACUCAGGAGGCUGAGGUGGGAGGAUCACUUGAGCCUGGGAGUUUGAGGCUGCAGUGAACUAUGAUUGUACCACUGCCUUCCAGCCUGGGCAACAGAGACCUUGUCUCUAAAAUAAAUAAAUAAAUAAACAAACACUAAACUACUCUAUGUUAAUAUUUAAUAGCCAUAAUAUCCCUAAAAAGAAGGUACUAUUCUUAGCUCCAUUUGCUAGAUGGGGCACUUGACAGCACAGAGAGGUUAAGUAACUUAAGAUUGCAAAGCCAGUAAGUGGUAGAGUCAGGAUUCAAACCCUGGCUUCAGCUGCAGAAUCUGUGGACUUAAUCACCAGACUAACCUCUAGGCACUAGUAGAUAUUAUCCUCAUAUUAUUUAUUUUUUCCUUACCCACAAAUAUCAUCCUGGCCCAAGACCUCAUUUUCAUUCAUUCUUAUGUAUCUUGGCCUUUCAGUGGUGUCUUCCCUUGUGCCCCUCUAAACCAUAGUUAUCUCACAACUGAUGAACUUUAGUGCAACCUAGUACCUUCUUUAGAUGUUUCUAAGAGGUGCAGGGUUUUUUGUCUCAAACUCAAGAAAUUACCUCCACUCUAUAUCCUCAGCAGGAGACAGUAGACUAUUCAUUAGUUUUAGAAUAUAUCAGCUAUCUGGGAUGCCCUUUGCCCUCCAGCGGAGGGCUAGGUAAGAGAGAAUAAACAAAAAAGCUAAGAAAUUUCUGGCAAAUAACCUUUCACCUAGGUCCCCAACCCUUCCAUUUCCCCAGGCCUGAAGCAUAUCUGAAGCAGGAAUUCAGGGGGUCCCAGGAUGUCCCAGGAAAAGAACUCCUUUAGGAACAGGAAAAGCCAUAUUUUUCUGGGUACAGUAGGAGUGACGCAGUAGAGGCAGGUUCUUGUGGAUUAAUCUGUAGCAAAGCUAUGAAUUUAGAGUUUUGCAAAGAAAAGGACAAGUUUAUCCUUAAGGUAGAACCAGCUUUGACGAAUGGCUAGUGCUGCAGGGAGCCAUAAGGAUAGAGAAGACAGAACUUCCAUCUAGUCUUGAGUCUGAGAAUACUAGAAAAAAGGAAGGAAAGAGAUUACUAGAGGAGGGUCUGAAGACCUGGUGAAGCAGGAAAGAGAUGGAAGUACAUUCUUCUCCUGGAAGGAGUGCAAAGACCAAGCCUCAGAACUAAUUCCAGAGCCAGAAGAGAGGAAAGAGGCCUUGGGAGUCCCUGAGAAUCUCACCUGUCAGAACAGCGGUGCCAGCCUCUAUGGGUUAGGUCACAUCAGAGAAGAUAUACCGGGGGCUAUGGACUUAAUCUGGCCCACAGGCAUGUUUUGUCUGACAUGCUUUUGUGUUCUUAAAAAAAAACAGAAUGAGUUGUCAACAUUUAAUAUUUGUGAGGUUUCACCCCAAAACUCAGAUUCCUGACUUCUCUUGAUUUCCUAAAUAUUACAUUCCCCCUUGGAAACCAUCAGCUGGAAGUGUCUGUGCCCUUUAGAUUUGCUUGAGCUGUGGACCUUUAUGUUUAGGUUAAAACAUCAAUCUCAAAAGUUUACAUGCUGUAUGAUUCCACUUAGAUAACAUUUUUGAAAUGAUGAAAGUAUAGAGAUGGAGAAUAGUUUAGUGGUUACUAGAGGACAGGCAUGGAGUUGGGUGAGCGGUUGCAGUGCGGAAGGGGAUUUGUGAAUACCAAAAGGUAGUAUGAGGGAGUUCUUUUGUGGUGAUGGAACAGUUCUAUGUCUUCAUUAUAGGAGUGGUUACAAGGAUCUGUAAGUGAGGUAAAGUUGCAUUGAACCACACACACACACACACACACACACACACACACACAAAACAGAACACAGGUUAAGAAAAUGGCAAGUAAUAAGUUCUGAAGUCUAUAGUAAACAGUAAUGUACUGUUGUCGAUUUCCUGGUGUGAAAGUUGUCACAAUCAAAAUGGAGUUACUAAUGUUAAGAAACCCUGACAAACAGAGCUAGGGAAGGCUGCCUACGAAGAGAGGGUUCUUACAUUUGUAUACCUGAUAACAAAAACUAUCAAAAAAAGACUGCAAAACCCACAACCUUGCACAAAGGCCAUCACAACCUUACAUAAAAAAAUACUUCUGCAAGGACAUCUCCCCAGCAAAUGCCUGUCCAACCUCGGACUGGCGUCACCCUUGUUAUUGAUCUUUGUAGUCAAGGAUAAUUAUUUCAAAACAAUUAUGUAAUCCUUUCCAUUUUUUCCUUUAAACACCUUUGUCUUCCUUUACAUCCCUGAAUAUGCGGUUAACUGUGAUGUGUAUAUUUUCAUUGCAAUGCUCUAUUCCCAAA